AUGAUUAUAAUCAAAGCUUUUUAUAUUGUAAUAUUUGUGACAUCAUUGUUUCAAUAUAUGACGUCUUACUUCAAUAUGGAGGAUGAGCGGAUGAAGCAAAUAGUAUUCUUUUGAGAGAUUAACUUCGGCCCAGUAGCUUCUCUGAAGAUAUCCUGGAGGAGUUCUUCCAUGUCAACCGUGAUAACAAUACAUUUUUAUUCACUGCCUAUGCGAUUUUAAAUAAA